rnacentral:rRNA from 1 species
GAUGAACGCUAGCGGCAGGCCUAAUACAUGCAAGUCGAGGGGUAGAGAGAGCUUGCUCUCUUGAGACCGGCGCACGGGUGCGUAACGCGUAUGCAACCUACCUCUAUCUGGGGGAUAGCCCGAAGAAAUUCGGAUUAACACCGCAUAAAAUCACAGAACGGCAUCGUUCAAUGAUCAAAUAUUUAUAGGAUGGAGAUGGGCAUGCGUGUCAUUAGUUAGUUGGCGGGGUAACGGCCCACCAAGACCGCGAUGACUAGGGGAUCUGAGAGGAUGGCCCCCCACACUGGUACUGAGACACGGACCAGACUCCUACGGGAGGCAGCAGUAAGGAAUAUUGGUCAAUGGAGGCAACUCUGAACCAGCCAUGCCGCGUGCAGGAAGACAGCCCUCUGGGUCGUAAACUGCUUUUAUUCGGGAAUAAACCUGCUUACGUGUAAGUAGCUGAAUGUACCGAAGGAAUAAGGAUCGGCUAACUCCGUGCCAGCCGCCGCGGUAAGAC